UAGAACCCUAAUUCUCCAUAACCUUCACAUCUUCAUAACUCUCUCAAAUCUAACCCGAUUUUAGAAAUUUUUGGGUCUAUCUUGGGUAAAAUUUUACAAGGAUUCUAAAUUUGUACUCGUAUUUCAAAGAUUUUUUGGUUUUGGGGUCGGAUUUGAGCAUAAGGGUGCCGAAAUUUUGGGGCUUUUUGUGGGUUUUUGUGUGAACUUCAAGUUUUUGUGAUUCUCAUCUUCCACAACACCAAGAUGAUAGAACUUUGUGAACCAUUGAGUGCUAUGGGUAUGAAUGUGCAUGGCAUCUAAGAAAUGGAAAGGAGUUGCAAGUUCUUCUCAAGGGGAUGCGGCACAACAAAAAAGGAGGAGAUUGACCCGGGUUGGUGACCCGGACUCGGAGGAGGAUGCACCUCC
rnacentral:lncRNA from 1 species